UUGGGACUUAUCGAAAUAGUCAUAAAAAAGAGUCUCGUGAUCCAUUAGUGUCUGCCGGUCCGGAAUCAAUGUAAGAUUUACAAACCAAAGUUUCCGCGAAUUGAGACUUAAACACAGUUUAUGGUGGGACCUGCUCAUCCUUGAGACUGUGCAGACCCUACACCUGGCUGUUUUGAGAAUCCGUGUGACAUCGGGUCAAUAAUGAAUGACUGAAGAGUAAGUGAACAGGCCUACUAAACAAAUAUUCAAAUUAAAACACAACUAGAUUAAAAAUCCUUACACCUGCGAACCUCUAUAUAUGCAAAUGAUUCAGUAGGGAGGAUCAGAGUCACUCAGACACUCACAGGACUGUGUUAUAAACUGAAUCCUCAGUCAGUGUUUAUGUUCUGCUGCAGUGCAGAUAAAUAUCUUCUUAUUCUCUUCAUUUGACAGUUUUAUGGUGAUAAUGGAAAUGUUACUUUAUGGAGUUCUCCUGAUGAUUAUUUCAUCUGUUAGUGGUCAGUCUUUGACCUCUUCAGAUUCUGUGGUGAAAAGACCAGGAGAAUCAGUCACUCUGUCCUGCAGUGCGUCUGGAUUCUCAAUGAGCAGCUACUGGAUGGCUUGGAUCCGUCAGAAACCAGCGAGAGGACUGGAGUGGAUUGGGUUUAUAUAUGGCUCAAGUGUAUAUUAUGCUCAGUCUCUACAAGGGCAGUUUUCCAUCACCACAGACACCAGCAAAAACAUGCUGUAUUUAGAGGUGAAAAGCCUGAAGACUGAAGACACAGCUGUUUAUUACUGUGCAAGAGAGUCACGGUUACACAAUAGACUGCAGGGCUGAACAAAAACUAUUCAUGCAUGAAAUCACUGAAGCAAUUACUGCAAAUUUACCCACAAUUCAACACAUUACUUGUUUAGAAAACAUUUUAAUACUUCUGUAUAAACAACGUCCCAAAUGAAAGUAUGAAUUUCUGGGCUGGUAAUAAGGAAGGUCAAAAAGAUAAUAGAUUCAGAGUUUGGAGGAAUGAUCAUUGAGUGAGAUUCAUAACCUGAAGUGAGUGUACUGUACAUAAGCACCUGCUAAAUGAAUCUGAAAAUAAUAGGCUGUUGUUUGAUUCAGACUCAACAAUAUUCAAUCAUGCCAAAUCUGAUUAAGUGAAUUAGUACACUGCAGUGGCAAAUAUCAUCUACAAUGAGCAAGAUAUAGGGUUGUUUUUUUUUCUUCUUUUCUUUUGGUCUGACCC